CAGCUCUGGUGUCUCCUCAUUUGCGGAAAAAUCUUUUCGCCUUUUACUAAAGAUUUCCGUGGAGAGGCACAGUGCAAUGAGUCUUAUCUCAUUUUUUCCAGCUCUAUCUUCGGACAGAGU
rnacentral:snRNA from 1 species